GACGAACGCUGGCGGCGUGCUUAACACAUGCAAGUCGAACGGAAAGGCCCUGCGCUUGUUGGGUGCUCGUUUGGCGAACGGGUGUGUAACACGUGAGUAUCAUGCCCUUAUCUUUGGGAUAACUCCAGGAAACUGGGGCUCUUAUCGGGUAGGAGCUUCUGCUGCGCAGGGGGGGUUGGAAAGUUUCGGCGGUGGGGGAUGGUCUCGCGGCUUAUCCGCUUGUUGGUGGGGUAGUGGAUUACCAAGGCUUUGAAGGGUAGCAGGCCUGGGAGGGUGACCGGCCACAUUGGGACUGAGAGACGGCACAGACUCCUACGCGAGGCAGCAGUGGGGAAUAUUGCACAAUGGGCGGAAGCCUGAUGCAGCAGCGCCGCGUGCGGGAUGACGGCCUUCGGGUUGUAAACCGCUUUCGCCUGUGACGAAGCGUGAGUGACGGUAAUGGAUAAAGAAGCACCGGCUAACUACGUG
rnacentral:rRNA from 1 species